GGUUAGAUGGCCGAGCGGUCUAAGGCGCCACGUUAAGGUUAUCUCAAACCCUUAAAACAUCUGUUGUUCUCCGUGGUCCGAAAGGGCGUGGGUUCGAAUCCCACUCUAAUCA